AGUUGUCUUUGCCAAAUAAUAUGAAUAAUUUUAUAAUUUUGCAGCAUUUAGAUCAAGUAAUUAAAUCUCGAAUCCCUGGCAAUCAAUCUCUCAUAAAUAAGGGUAUUAUUGAAAUUGAAAGUGGAUUAAGUCGUCUCAGAAAACCCAUCGUUGCAGAUGUUGGAGCAAGUUAUAUUCGAUUAUGUAAAUUUGUCGUAUCUUUGAUCAAAUAUACAAGGAACAUCUGAUGGAGUGAGACCUGGUGUCCUGAAAGUUUACAAUGUUUUUGACAAACAUUUGCAAACGUUUGCAAUUUGACAAACAACUAUCAAUGGAGAUCUCGCUGUGCGGCUAAUUGGUUUUGAUCAUCUUUAGGUUCUCCCAGCAACAAUGAGGAAAAUGUCUCUGAAUUCAGCCAGAACAACAUUUCUUAAAAUAUGAUGAGGUUGGAUCCUGGGCCUGGGCGCAAGAUUAUGCUCUGAUGCUUAUGUUGAGCAAAGAGGUUCCUUGGUUCUUGCUCAAGGUGCUACAGGAUUGGUGUUAACUGUUGCUAGUGGUCUUUAAGGAAUCAGGGUGGUCGUUGGCAAAGGGGACACUUGACUAUUUGUAGGGUCUUAAGAUGCUUGGAGUUAAGCGAACUGAAAAAAUUCUUCCUACUGGGACAGUGGGACUGCAUUAACUGUUGUUGGCGAGGCAGCUAAAGAUGAUGCUGGAAAAAUAAGGAUACAAAGACCGGAUAAAGGAAUCCCUAAUCGCGGACCUGUGCAAUAGAUGGUAUCAAAUUACUUCUCCCGGAUUCACAGUUGUUGGCAUAUUUCUGCUUGCAAAGCAUGCAGUUCAGCAUGUGCUUGAGAAAAGGCGAUGCUGGGAAUUGCAGAAAAGGGUUCUUACUGUUGCACGGCAAGCGCGCAAUUCUGGAGAACUUUUGCGAAUCUUGAGAAGAGGGGCGAAUCUAGCGCUAUCAACAAGUUCAUGCCUUAUGGUAAUCACAUGAGCACAUCUGUCGCCGCCGCUGCCUGUUUCACAAGUGCAAAUGGAGUCGAGAUAUUCAUGUUGUAGUGCUAGUUACGAUUGGAAGUGUGAAUGGAAUAAAGAGGUUCAGAAAAGAGAAUUUAUUGUGCAUGAAUUUUAGUCCCACAUUGGAACUCUUUUGGUUUUAUUGUUGGUUUAUUAUAAUACUUGUAUUAAUCUUUGUGAACAUAUGUAUGAGGAGAGGUUUUCUCACGCGUGGGUGCAAAUCUAGGGCCUGAAUUUGCACUGACCACGUUGACUCGUGUGCGAGCACUACUUACGUGCGUCAAAUGUAGGACGGACAAAAUUUAUUCAAGUGGAACAACUAAUAUUUUGUCACAAA